AAUGAACGCUGGCGGCAGGCCUAAAACAUGCAAGUCGAACGCCCUAGCAAUAGGGAGUGGCGCACGGGUGAGUAACAUGUGGGAAUAUGCCUUUUGGUAAGGAACAACGAUUGGAAACGAACGCUAAUACCGUAUGGUCCCUCCGGGGUAAAGAUUUAUCGCCAAAAGAUUAGCCCGCACUAGAUUAGCUAGUUGGUAAGGUAAUGGCUUACCAAGGCGACGAUCUAUAGCUGUGCUGAGAGGAAGCUCAGCCACACUGGGACUGAGACACGGCCCAGACUCCUACGGGAGGCAGCAGUGAGUAAUAUUGGACAAUGGGCGCAAGCCUGAUCCAGCCAUGCCGCGUGAGUGAUGAAGGCCUUCGGGUUGUAAAGCUCUUUAGCCGACGAAUAUAAUGACGGUAGUCGGAGAAUAAGCCACGGCUAACUUCGUGCCAGCAGCCGCCGUAAGAC
rnacentral:rRNA from 1 species